GUAGAUUAAAUGUAUAUCUCCAUCUUGGAUUUUGAAAUAGUAGCACACAAUUGCAACCAGCCUAGUUCCUUGCCAAAAUUUGCAAAUUUUGAGAUGAAUAUACUUUAUUUCUCAUAAAACUACAAUAAUCAGUGGCGGAUCUAGAAAUUGUCAUAAGUGGGGGACCAUUGGCUGCCUAAGAGGGAGCUUGCUCCGGUCAUGCUUCAGUGAUUCCUUAUAUAAUCAACCAAUUUUUUUCUCAAAAGGGGGGCCCAGGCCCCCUGCCCCCCUAAAUCUGCCUCUGAUUAUAGAUAUAGAGAACAUACAUAAAUAUAACUAUAAGGUACAAUUUUUACAAGCAUGUGUGAACAAUACAAUGAAAUUAACUUGGAGGACUGACUUUCAGAUUUACAACUUUGAUAAAUUUACAUAGUUUUUCUAAUAUUACAAUAUUUGAUGAAUUAAACAGUUGAUC
rnacentral:lncRNA from 1 species